AUUGAACGCUGGCGGUAGGCCUAACACAUGCAAGUCGAGCGAGCGGCGGACGGGUGAGUAAUGUCUGGGAAACUGCCUGAUGGAGGGGGAUAACUACUGGAAACGGUAGCUAAUACCGCAUACCAUCAGAUGUGCCCAGAUGGGAUGAGCUCGUAGGUGGGGUAACGGCUCACCUAGGCGACGAGCCCUAGCUGGUCUGAGAGGAGGACCAGCCACACUGGAACUGAGACACGGGCCAGACUCCUACGGGAGGCAGCAGGGGGGAAUAUUGCACAAUGGGCGCAAGCCUGAUGCAGCCAUGCCGCGUGGGUGAAGAAGGCCUUCGGGUUGUAAAGCACGUUCAGCGGGGAGGCGUUACCCGCAGAAGAAGCACCGGCUAACUCCGUGCCAGCAGCCGCGGUAAUUC
rnacentral:rRNA from 1 species